AGGUCACUGACGAGUUUGAUCAUGGCUCAGAACGAACGCUGGCGGCAGGCCUAACACAUGCAAGUCGAGCGCCCCGCAAGGGGAGCGGCGGACGGGUGAGUAACGCGUGGGAACGUACCCUUUGCUACGGAAUAGCCUCGGGAAACUGGGAGUAAUACCGUAUGUGCCCUUCGGGGAAAGAUUAUCGGCAAAGGAUCGGCCCGCGUUGGAUUAGGUAGUUGGUGGGGUAAUGGCCUACCAAGCCGACGAUCCAUAGCUGGUUUGAGAGGAUGAUCAGCCACACUGGGACUGAGACACGGCCCAGACUCCUACGGGAGGCAGCAGUGGGGAAUCUUAGACAAUGGGCGCAAGCCUGAUCUAGCCAUGCCGCGUGAGCGAUGAAGGCCUUAGGGUUGUAAAGCUCUUUCAGUGGGGAAGAUAAUGACUGUACCCACAGAAGAAGCCCCGGCUAACUCCGUG
rnacentral:rRNA from 1 species